rnacentral:misc_RNA from 1 species
UUUCCGUAGGUGAACCUGCGGAAGGAUCAUUAUUGUAUAACCGAGGUGCGAGGCCUGUCGCUGACCCGAAAGGUCGUGCACGCCUGAGUGCCCUCACACACAUCCAUCUCACCCCUAUUUGCACCACCGCGUGGGUCCCCCUUUGGCUUGUUCGGAGGGGGGCUUACGUUUUCACACAAACUUUGUAUGCAGUGUAGAAUGUAUUUUUUGUUUUUGCGAUCACGCAAUCAAUACAACUUUCAACAACGGAUCUCUUGGCUCUC